rnacentral:rRNA from 1 species
UACGGGGGGGGCAAGCGUUGUUCGGAAUUACUGGGCGUAAAGGGCUCGUAGGCGGCCAACUAAGUCAGACGUGAAAUCCCCAGGCUCAACCUGGGAACUGCGUCUGAUACUGGAUGGCUUGAAUCCGGGAGAGGGAUGCAGAAUUCCAGGUGUAGCGGUGAAAUGCGUAGAUAUCGGGAGGAACACCGGUGGCGAAGGCGGCGACCUGGGUGGAUACUGACGCUGAGGCGCGAAAGCGUGGGGAGCAAACAGG